rnacentral:rRNA from 1 species
GAUGAACGCUGGCGGCGUGCCUAAUACAUGCAAGUCGAGCGAACAGACGAGGAUCUUGCUCCUCUGACGUUAGCGGCGGACGGGUGAGUAACACGUGGAUAACCUACCUAUAAGACUGGGAUAACUUCGGGAAACCGGAGCUAAUACCGGAUAAUAUAUUGAACCGCAUGGUUCAAUAGUGAAAGACGGUUUUGCUGUCACUAAUAGAUGGAUCCGCGCCGCAUUAGCUAGUUGGUAAGGUAACGGCUUACCAAGGCAACGAUGCGUAGCCGACCUGAGAGGGUGAUCGGCCACACUGGAACUGAGACACGGUCCAGACUCCUACGGGAGGCAGCAGUAGGGAAUCUUCCGCAAAGGGCGAAAGCCUGACGGAGCAACGCCGCGUGAGUGAUGAAGGUCUUCGGAUCGUAAAACUCUGUUAGUAGGGAAGAACAAAUGUGUAAGUAACUAUGCACGUCUUGACGGUACCUAAACAGAAAGCCACGGCUAACUACGUG